rnacentral:rRNA from 1 species
AUUGAACGCUGGCGGCAGGCCUAACACAUGCAAGUCGAACGAGUGGCGGACGGGUGCGUAAUGUCUGGGAAACUGCCAGAUGGAGGGGGAUAACUACGGGAAACGGUAGCUAAUACCGCAUACCAUCGGAUGUGCCCAGGUGGGAUUAGAUAGUAGGUGGGGUAAUGGCUAACCUAGGCGACGAUCCCUAGCUGGUCUGAGAGGAUGACAAGCCACACUGGAACGGAGACACGGUCAAGACUCAUACGGGAGGCAGCAGUGGGGAAUAUGGCACAAUGGGCGCAAGCCUGAUGCAGCCAUGCCGCGUGUAUGAAGAAGGCCGUCGGGUUGUAAAGUACUUUCAGCGAGGAGGCGUUACUCGCAGAAGAAGCACCGGCUAACUCCGUGCCAGCAGCCGCGGUAAUUC